rnacentral:rRNA from 1 species
AUUGAACGCUGGCGGCAGGCUUAACACAUGCAAGUCGAGCGGGGUGAUGGUGCUUGCACUAUCACUUAGCGGCGGACGGGUGAGUAAUGCUUAGGAAUCUGCCUAUUAGUGGGGGACAACAUCUCGAAAGGGAUGCUAAUACCGCAUACGUCCUACGGGAGAAAGCAGGGGAUCACUUGUGACCUUGCGCUAAUAGAUGAGCCUAAGUCGGAUUAGCUAGUUGGUGGGGUAAAGGCCUACCAAGGCGACGAUCUGUAGCGGGUCUGAGAGGAUGAUCCGCCGCACGGGGACUGAGACACGGCCCGGACUCCUACGGGAGGCAGCAGUGGGUAAUAUUGGACAAUGGGGGGAACCCUGAUCCAGCCAUGCCGCGUGUGUGAAGAAGGCCUUAUGGUUGUAAAGCACUUUAAGCGAGGAGGAGGCUCUUUUGGUUAAUACCCAAGAUGAGUGGACGUUACUCGCAGAAUAAGCACCGGCUAACUCUGUGCCAGCCGCCGCAGUAA